rnacentral:tRNA from 1 species
GGCCCUAUAGCUCAGCGGUAGAGCGUCGGCUUCCAGUUUCUUUGGCUUGAACAUAUCGGCCUGCUCGCUGUGCCAUUCCGAAGGUUGUCCGUUCGAAUCGGGCUGGGGUCA